GAGAGGGGGGGGAAAAAGCUCAUUAGUGAAAACAUGAAGACAAACUCAAAAACAGCAAACUAGUGACAACAUGAAAAACUGACCACAGGCAGCCAAAUACAAAGAGGAAAAAGAAAAAGAACAAUCUGUUUGGGAAUUUGGGAAGAAUGUAUUUUUUUUUCCCUUUUCAAAAAAAAUCAAGACAAAAACCAGCAACUUCAAGAAUUUACAUGAAGCAAUCAUCAGCCUCCAAAUGAACAAACAGGUCGAGAUUACGCGUCGUUAGAGGCAUAAAACCUGUGAGGUGUCAGUAAGACACAACCACACACAGAUUUCCUAAGCAUGGGCACCGGGAUAACUGGUUAGGUCAGGAAAACAUGACAGUGUCAGUACCAGAUACCUGUAAUUGUUAUUAAUUCAUAUAUUUUUUAUUUAUUAAUAUUUGACUGACUUGUUCCUUCUAUAUAGUGAAUGUUUUCUUGUGCGCGGUAGCAGGUGAACAACAAGAUGAACGACUUUCCUUUCAGUCUCUACACAACUGAAAGUAAGCUCCACCUAGAAGAGGCAAAAGGACGUUUGCUGUAAUCAUUAAUUGUAACUUUCUCCUCUCCAAGUAUCUAAUAUGCAAAAUACUUUGUGACUUUUCAGCUGCCUCUCCACGGAGGACUGGAUUGCAGGUUGGAGCCCUCGUUAAGCUCUGUAGUCUCAGCGAGUUUGGCAUAGCAGCACAUGAACAAGUUCUCCACCUGCAGCUCGCAGAGGAUCCAGAGCAGAGUGAGAAGCUGCUGUGCAGAAGAGAGCAAUGAAGCCACCAACCAGCUACUGUUUCCCACCAUAGGGAGGAUCUGGGGCUGUACUACGAAGAAAACUGAACAUACCCAGGAUAUCUUUUUCCUGAUCGGGCUAAAAUAAAGCUGCAUUCAAAUCCAGAAAGGUGAAUGCGACUUCGAGCAAGUACAGGAGAAACAACUGCUGGUGACAGGAAGUAGACAGGCGAGCCCAGGCGAGCAAUUGAAGAAUGAGAGUGCUGAUGAGGGUGAAGAACAUUGUUGACUGACAUAUGAAUUCAUAGUAAAUACAUUAGAGGGUUGCCAAAGCAACUGGAGCCUGGAAGAAAGCGACGCGCAGCUUUACCCCAACAUCAGCAGUCAGUGUCAAUAAAUCAAUCAAGGCUUCAAUCUAGGCUAGCAGUUCGUUUACAUGAAGCGGGGAGGUGCUGGUGAUAUGCGACCGAUCGGAAACGUGAAGGCAGGGCAGCUGAUUUUACAAAGCAAGAAAAACAAAAAACAAAAAAAAAA